UGGCGAUGAUGAAGACGACAGUCAUGCACCACGCUGAUGAGGAAUUCUCCUCGAAUGUGCUGACGACAAAGUCUUGUACCCAUUUUUCUCUCUGAGUCU
rfam:Musa acuminata subsp. malaccensis Doubled-haploid Pahang (DH-Pahang) genomic chromosome, chr6